rnacentral:rRNA from 1 species
AUUGAACGCUGGCGGCAUGCCUUACACAUGCAAGUCGAACGGCAGCACGGGAGCAAUCCUGGUGGCGAGUGGCGAACGGGUGAGUAAUAUAUCGGAACGUGCCCAGUCGUGGGGAUAACGUAGCGAAAGCUACGCUAAUACCGCAUACGAUCUACGGAUGAAAGCGGGGGAUCGCAAGACCUCGCGCGAUUGGAGCGGCCGAUAUCAGAUUAGGUAGUUGGUGAGGUAAAGGCUCACCAAGCCGACGAUCUGUAGCUGGUCUGAGACGGACGACCAGCCACACUGGGACUGAGACACGGCCCAGACUCCUACGGGAGGCAGCAGUGGGGAAUUUUGGACAAUGGGCGCAAGCCUGAUCCAGCAAUGCCGCGUGCAGGAUGAAGGCCU